CCAAUAGCGUAUAUUAAAGUUGUUGCAGUUAAAAAGCUCGUAGUUGAACUUCGGGGUUUACCCAUUGGUCAGGCUUAAUUGUCUGCACUGGUGAGAUGAAUCUCUACCUUCUGAGGAACUUUCAUGCCAUUUAUUUGGUGUGAUGGGAAAUCAGGACUGUUACUUUGAAAAAAUUAGAGUGUUUAAAGCAGGCUAACGUCUGAAUACAUUAGCAUGGAAUAAUGAAAUAGGACGGACUGAUUCUAUUUCGUUGGUUUCUAGGAUCACCGUAAUGAUUAAUAGGGAUAGUUGGGGGCAUUAGUAUUCAAUUGUCAGAGGUGAAAUUCUUGGAUUUAUUGAAGACUAACUACUGCGAAAGCAUUUGCCAAGGAUGUUUUCAUUAAUCAAGAACGAAAGUUAGGGGAUCGAAGACGAUCAGAUACCGUCGUAGUCUUAACCAUAAACUAUGCCGACUAGGGAUCGGGCGAAGUUAAUUUUAUAAUGACGCGUUCGGCACCUUACGGGAAACCAAAGUGUUUGGGUC
rnacentral:rRNA from 1 species